CGAGCGGCAGCACGGGAAGCUUGCUUCCUGGUGGCGAGCGGCGGACGGGUGAGUAAUGCAUAGAAAUCUGCCCGGUAGUGGGGGAUAACCUGGGGAAACCCAGGCUAAUACCGCAUACGUCCUACGGGAGAAAGCAGGGGAUCUUCGGACCUUGCGCUAUCGGAUGAGUCUAUGUCGGAUUAGCUUGUUGGUGAGGUAAUGGCUCACCAAGGCGACGAUCCGUAGCUGGUCUGAGAGGAUGAUCAGCCACAUCGGGACUGAGACACGGCCCGAACUCCUACGGGAGGCAGCAGUGGGGAAUAUUGGACAAUGGGCGAAAGCCUGAUCCAGCCAUGCCGCGUGUGUGAAGAAGGCCUUCGGGUUGUAAAGCACUUUCAGUGGGGAAGAAAGCCUUGGGGCUAAUACCCUCGAGGAAGGACAUCACCCACAGAAGAAGCACCGGCUAACUCCGUGCCAGCAGCCGCGGUAAUACGGAGGGUGCGAGCGUUAAUCGGAAUUACUGGGCGUAAAGCGCGCGUAGGCGGUCUGAUAAGCCGGUUGUGAAAGCCCCGGGCUCAACCUGGGAACGGCAUCCGGAACUGUCAGGCUAGAGUGCAGGAGAGGAAGGUAGAAUUCCCGGUGUAGCGGUGAAAUGCGUAGAGAUCGGGAGGAAUACCAGUGGCGAAGGCGGCCUUCUGGACUGACACUGACGCUGAGGUGCGAAAGCGUGGGUAGCAAACAGGAUUAGAUACCCUGGUAGUCCACGCCGUAAACGAUGUCGACUAGCCGUUGGGCUCCUUGAGAGCUUUGUGGCGCAGUUAACGCGAUAAGUCGACCGCCUGGGGAGUACGGCCGCAAGGUUAAAACUCA
rnacentral:rRNA from 1 species